AACAAAAGAAGGUAUGCAUGGAAAGGUAUAGAAAACGAGAAGAUGGAGAUUACAAUCAUCGUACAGAUUCUUGAUUUUCAAGAAUCUGAAUUUAAAUCCAAAGUUUUUCAUGCUUGAAUGAUGGUAAUCUGAUCUAAAAUUUGCUAAAUUUUGAUACUUUGUUGCUAGAAAUGCAGUUAUUGUUAUAAUUAGUUAAUUAUAGUACUGUUUGUAGUGUUCUUGAAUUGUGUUCAGAUUUAUGAAAAUUUUAAGUUAUAGAUUAUUAGAUUUGGGUUGAAAAAUUAGUAACACGGUUAUUUUCUGACUGGAGUGCAGGUUAUUUGUUGUUGUCUAAAUGGAUGAGAGAAUUGGAAAAGAAUGCAAUAUGGAAGUAAGAGAUUCACUAAUUAUUCUUUAUAUCAAAUGUCAUUAGGGGUUUGCUACAACACUUUUUUUGUGGAUCUUCAAGUUCGGGAGUAUGCAAUCUCAGUAGCUGGUAGAUUAUCUGAAAAGAAUCAUGCAUAUGUUUUUCCAGCACUUCGCCGCCACCUAAUUCAGUUGUUAACUUAUCUCGGGCAAAGUGCUGAUAGCAAAUGCCGAGAAGAGAGUGUAAAAUUAUUGGGUUGACUUAUCCGCAGUUGUGAACGCCUUAUACUUCCAUAUAUUACUCUAAUUAGAUGCCAAAACAAGUCAUAUACAGAUGGAUCAAAGAAAUAGAAAAAUGAGUUUACCCAGAAGAGGUCGCUAAAAGUGCGUAUAGUCUUAAACGACUUCUACCCAACGACGAUUUGGGGAUUCUCUCA